rnacentral:tmRNA from 11 species
AUUUUGGAAAGAAUAGUAUUAUGAUGCAAGUCAAGAUUGAGCUCAUCUUGUUAAUAAAGCUCAUCAUAAAUAAAUGCAAAUAAUAUUGUACCUUUUUCUCGUAAGGUCGCUUUAGUUUAAGAUUGUUUUCCUCAUUGGAGACUUGAUUAAUCUAUAAAAAUAAGUUAAAGCUAAAACAUUGGAAGAAAUUUAGCUUAUAAAUAAAAUUCCGUUCUCAUAACUUUAGUGGGUAAAAAAAUACUUUCUUUGAGUAUUGAACAAAGAUAAACUUGUGAAUGAGUGUGCUACGUAAGCUGAAAUGGACGUGGGU